GACAGAGGUGCCGAGCGUUAGGCGGAAUCACUGGGCUUAAAGCGUGUGUAGGCGGAUUCCUAAGUACCUUGUGAAAUCCCAUGGCUCAACCAUGGAACUGCUUGGUAUACUGGGUGUCUUGAGCCAGCUAGGGGCUACCGGAACAAAUGGUGGAGCGGUGAAAUGCGUAGAUAUCAGGAAGAACACCCGUGGCGAAGGCGGCUCUCUGGGACGGUACUGACGCUGAGACGCGAAAGCGUGGGGAGCGAACAGG
rnacentral:rRNA from 1 species